GACGAACGCUGGCGGCGUGCUUAACACAUGCAAGUCGAACGGAAAGGCCCUGCUUUUGUGGGGUGCCGGGGUGGGGAACGGGGGAGUAACACGUGUGUAACCUGCCCUUGAUUUUGGGGUGGGUUCAGGAAACUAGGGCUAAUACCGGACAGGAGCUCCUGCUGGGUGGUGGGGAGUGGAUCGUUUCGGCGGUUGGGGAUGGACUCGCGGCUUAUGAGCUUGUUGGUGGGGUAGUGGCAUACCAAGGCUUUGACGGGUAGCCGGCCUGAGAGGGUGACCGGCCACAUUGGGACUGAGAUACGGCCCAGACUCCUACGGGAGGCAGCAGUGGGGAAUAUUGCACAAUGGGCGCAAGCCUGAUGCAGCAACGCCGCGUGCGGGAUGACGGCCUUCGGGUUGUAAACCGCUUUCGCCUGUGACGAAGCGUGAGUGACGGUAAUGAGAGAAGAAGCACCGGCUAACUACGUG
rnacentral:rRNA from 1 species